rnacentral:rRNA from 1 species
AGUGAACGCUGGCGGUAGGCCUAACACAUGCAAGUCGAACGGCAGCACAGUAAGAGCUUGCUCUUACGGGUGGCGAGUGGCGGACGGGUGAGGAAUACAUCGCCAUCUACUUUUUCGUGGGGGAUAACGUAGGGAAACUUCCGCUAAUACCGCAUACGACCUACUGGUUAAAGCAUGCUAUCUUCGGACCUUUCGCGAUUGAAUGAGCCGAUGUCGGAUUAGCUAGUUGGCUGGGUAAAGGCCCACCAAGGCGACGAUCCGUAGCUGGCCUGAGAGGAUGAUCAGCCACACUGGAACUGAGACACGGUCCAGACUCCUACGGGAGGCAGCAGUGGGGAAUAUUGGACAAUGGGCGCAAGCCUGAUCCAGCCAUACCGCGUGGGGGAAGAAGGCCUUCGGGUUGUAAAGCCCUUUUGUUGGGAAAGAAAAGCAGCAGGUUAAUAACCCGCUGUUCUGACGGUACCCAAAGAAUAAGCAACGGCUAACUUCGUG